rnacentral:lncRNA from 1 species
GAUAAUUAAACUUUAACAGUGUACAUUUAACAAACAAGGCAUAAAUUAAACAUACAUAUAAUCUUAACAUUCAACAUGUAGUUUGUCCAACCAAACUCUAAUCUUCUUUGUUAAUGACAGCUUCCUUCUCAGGUUCAUCCCUGCCAAGUGAAGCUACAAGGGUUUCCAGCUUCUCAGGUUCAUCUGUGUCAAGGGAAGCUUCAAGGGUUUCCAGCUUCUCAGGUUCAUCUAUGUCAGGUGAUGCUAUAAGCCUUUCAACUGGAACUUUGGAAACAUCACGGCGAACACCGAUAUCAGAAACCAAUCGGCUCACACAGUAAAUGCCAUAUCCAACAGCAGCCAAACCACUGAAACUGGUCGUCAUAAAACG